AGGGCAGUGACCAGUUCCUCAUGGCAUGCUGUGGGCGUGCAGCACUCGCUGUGACUGCAAUGUCUUGGUAGCAGGCAGCUGCUGGCUGUGAGCGCUCACAGGCCUGUCUCAAGCUGCUAGCAUCCUAAAAAGCUGUUGACCCUCGCGGGACACUCAAUAUCUGACUGUGACAACAAGGAUGUCAUCAGCACACAUAGGUAUAUCAAAUGGAUGCAAAGUCUGUGAUCUUAAAAGAACUGCAAGCAAGAUCAGUGCAGAAAGUAAACUUCUUACACAGACCAUAAGUGAGAAGCAGAAGAGGUCAAAGCUGUCAGAGGAAAUGAAAGGCCAUGUGCUCUGCCCUUCCCCUCUUCAAGGAAGGUUACUGUCCCAAAACUGGUUUGACCUGCUGCAUUCCAUCAUAAGGAUCACGUAAUGAAUGUGACAAUGCAAUAGCUGAAAUAAAGACUACAUCUGUAGUGGUGCAGAUAAGUGGCGAAGUCUUUCAUUUAAUGAUAAGACACGUGUUUGUUUGUGGGUUUUGUUUUUGUUUUUUUUAAAUUCCAUGUUAGAGUGCCAGAUCAGAUACUUACAUUUUUCAUGAUUUUUUUUUUUCAUAAUGUGAAUCACUGAUGCUAUCUUACUGUACCAGCAAGAUAUGAUGUGACUUUACAUACAUAUUGUAUUCAGUACAAACAAAUCAGAAUUUCAGCCAACAAAUUGCAAGUCAAGAGCAGCUGGAUCCCCACUGCCAUUUUCAAACAAGCAAGUAGCUCAGUUAGAAUUAGGUAGGCUUUUCAUAUUCUGUAACACUGUAUGAAGGAAAAGUCAAAUUACAUAUUAUGUUUUAUGACAUUUCAUUUCUUGUUUGUGCAGCUUUUUACUAUUGUCACUAAAAUUGAGAUCUGUUACUAAGCGUGAGCUUUCUAUCCUAGAGAAAGUCUUUUCUCCUCUUUGUGUGGGAAUAUUCUUUUAUGUCUUCAUAGACAGCCUGUGUGUUGGGGAACUUACUCUCUAAAGUUAUUCCUCCCACCCACCGCAAAGAGUCACUUCUUUGCAGAAGAACAGUGUCUUCAGAAAAGUUACAGUAUAAUUCAUCAAACACAUAAUGGCUUCAAAAAUCUUCUACUCCCCAGUUUCAUCGCCUAAUCCUGAAAGAGAGACUGAAAUACGAAUCUCCCCUGCUGUAUAGACAAAGGUUUGAAUCUCUGCUAGGUUUUCAGAGUAAGGGCCAAAGUCUCCUCAAUUUCUCUUUCUUCUCUGGGUUUACUAUAAAAACUGAUCCUGUCCUACUAUUUUCCAAAUGUUUUUGGUUGUUACCUCUGCUUCAAUCUUUUGUGUCUGGAAAAAAUUGAUGUUUUUAUUCUCUCCUACACUCUCUUUAUUAAUUUCCUUAUUAAGACUUGUAAAAUAAUAAAUAAAGCUCUCAGGUGUUCAGUGGUUCUUCUAAGUAGUUCCUAUUGGGUAUCUCCUCCCCUUACCACGAGGUUUGUAACAUGCAACACCAGUAUUCUUGAAUUAUAAGUUGCAGUUUCAUCUCUGUGGAAUAAUUGCCUCCGGUCUUCAAGGAGCAAGAACUCUUAACUGGUACUGAAUAUACUUCUGAUCCUUAGUGAUUUACAUUUUGCUCUUCGAUAUAUGAAAAUGUGACAUUGUAAAUUUUUGUGAAUCAAAGUCAGUAGGAAACUACAUAUGUAUCUGUAAUAUAUCACCAAAUAUCAGACAGUGAUACCUAAGCGGGUAAGUGGUAAGGAGACAAAAUAAUAGUGGAUUACCAUGUGUGCUGUACUAAGAGCCAAGGACAAACAAAGGUUGCUAUGGACUUUCAUGUAACAUUUUAUAACGUCACUUGCCUUGCCUCAUAUUCUAUGUGAUAAAGUAUGUAAGUGGUCUAAACUGUGACAGCUUCUGGUUACCAGUUUCUAGUAUAUCCAAAUAAUAAGCUUUGCUAAUUACCAGAUUUUCAACAUUAGGGAAAUCAUACACAAUAAAGGCAAAUCACUUUGUCAAAAUAAUGCUUUUGAAGUACCAAGCCUACUAUUUGCUCUAAUGGUCACAGAAAACAAAACACAGCCAGCUAAAAGUAAAGACAGCUGAAAAUUAUCCACUGUUCUUUCCUCCAGCUGCUAUGCUAGAUGAGAAUUUGGUCAGUCUAAUCUUUAAAAGUUGCUCAGGUAACACACACUUUUGCUGUGUAAAAUUAUGGAUAAAGUUUACGUGGCCAAAUAUGCCUCCAUAAUUGCAGAUAAAUCAUAGGCUAUGUCAAUCAUAAUUUCACAGUAAGUGCCAGCUUCCCAGGUGAAUAUCAACUGGGAUCCUUUUUCCUCCCUUACCUUUUUUCCUCACUUCUGCUUUUGGAAUUCCAUAGCAGUUCUUAUGCAGUACAAGACCAUCUCUUUCUUACUGUUCUGUCAUCUAUCAGAUGUCUUUCCUGCAAAGAAAGGCUGAGGGAGCUGGGCUUUUUCAGUCUGGAGAAGACUUAAAGGAUAUCUCACUGUGGCCUUCCAGUACAUUAAGGGAGUGUAGGAGAACCACCUUUUACAUGAGCAGAUAGUGAUAGGACAAGGGGGAAUGGCUUUAAACUAAAAGAAGGGAGAUUUAGAUUAGAUAUUAGGAGGAAUUUCUUUACUCAGAGGGUGGUGAGGCACUGGCACAGGCUGCCCAGAGGACCCUCUGGGCAGGGAUGCCUCAUCCCUGGAGGAGUUCAAGGCCAGGCUGGAUGGGCCCUGGACAGCCUGAUCCAUUGGUUAGCAACCCUGCUCGCAGUAGGGAGUUGGAACUAGGUGAUCUUUAAUGUCUCAAGCCACGUUUGAUUCUCUGAUCCUUUGACUCUAUGAUUCUCUGUGGAAAAGGCAGCAGGGAGCUUGGCUACUUUCCUCAGCCCCUGCACUCUGCCUGAGCAAACGCAAGCAAGAUCUUGGAGAUAGCUCAGCUAAAGAAAC
ensembl:lncRNA